UUCAUCCUCUUUCUUCAGUUCUCCUUCUUCGUUCUUUCUUCUUCUUGUCCGGAUACCACACAGAGAGUGAGAAGGAGAGAACAGAGAGAGACAAAAAGACCAAGAGAGUGAGAUUAGAGAUGAGAUAAAGAGAAAGAGAAUCAGAGAGAGUGAGAUGAGAGAUCGGGUGAGAGAGAUGCCGGGAGAUCGUGAAACCGGGACCCAGGCCCGAUUUCCGACGGGUCUGAUAGGGACGAAACAAAGAUGGAGAACCGGAGGCCGAUCCUCCAUGGGUCGCCUGCGGCCGGAGCUGGGUUGUUGCCGGUGAGCUGGGGGUGCAAUUUUCAGUGGAGCCGUGACCCUAUGAGACUCGAUCGUCAAUGGCCGGUCCUCCAGGAGCCAAUUUCUGGCGAUUCAACAACGGGUCGAGGCGAUGGCAAAGUCCGGUGGCCGGAGGAUGCAAUUUCCGACGAGAUAGAGCUGGGUUUUCUGUGGGUCGUCGUCGGUGGUGAUUUCUGAUGACUUGGAGUGCGAUUCCGGCGAUUUCAGUGGUGAUUCCGGUGAACCCGUAACCCGAGGACUCGAGGAAGAGAACUGGAGGUGACCCGAUUUAGGAAGACCCGAGAAACCGUGAGACCCGAAAAACCCAGUCCUCCAUUGACGAGCUUCGGUGAUACCUCCGAUAGUUUUCUGAGAAAAUCCUUACAAUUCUAGUAAUUUCAUUAUGGAUUUAUAAGGGUGUAAUUUCUAUGAAAUUGUUGAUGGGUUUUGGGUAAUGGGCAAUAAAAAUCUGGGUGUGUUUGGAGAUGAAAUCGGUGGAGUGUUGUAGAUUAAUUGAGCAAACUUUUUUGCUUUAAGAAUAAUUUUUGGUAGAAAAGAGGAAGACAAUUAUUCUGGAGUGUCUUUCUAUAGGUAAACCGAUUGGAUAUUUUUGGAUGAUGUGGGGGAGAAUCAUAUCAACUAUUCUAUGUUUUAGUGAUGAAAAUUGAUACAUGGUUUGUCAAUGGAUUUUGUAGAAUUGUUAAAACUCCAUUUCAAUCUGUUAUAGGUAUCUAAGAUUGGUAGAAUCUCUUUUGGGUUGAUUUCUUUGGAUAUUCAAAUUGAGACUGAAUGGGUUUCUCUAUGUUUUGAGUGAUUUUGACUUUGUAAAAUUCUGAGUUCUUAUUUUUAUUCAUUUUGGUGGUUGAUUAUAUGAUAUUUGAUUUUGGUGAUACUAUGUAAUUGGAAUUCUUAGGUUGUGGAUAGCCGAUUGUGGAGAACUUUUAGUAGUAAAAACAUGGUGAAUAUUGAAGGUUUUAGACAUUAAUUUAUGUUUGAAUUGCUGAUUUCAUUUAGUUAAGUUGAGGAAAAAUUAUGGGUUGCCUGAGAACGUUGGUUUUCUAUUUAUGAUCUUAUUAUUGGAUGAUUUUUUUUAGUGCAUGGAGUUUCGGCUUAAAGGCGUGGGGAUUUAUCAUGUUUUGGGACAAUUUGAUGAGAACUGAGUUCUCUCUUGAUGAUCAGAUGGUGUUUAUGCUUCGGAUAAGGUAAAAGCUCGACCCCGACGCUAAUGACUAGUCCAGAUAACACAGUAAGACGGAGUCAUUUCUUUGUAAUGGCGUAGACCUCGCUAAAAGCAAUAGUUCAUUGUGGAUCGACCAAACCUUUACUUUGUAUAGUAUGUCUCUUAUUGAAAUUCAUGGCGUUGUAAAGAUUUAUUAUUAGACAGGAAUAAUAUAAUAAGAAGUUACAAUC